AUUGAACGCUGGCGGCAGGCCUAACACAUGCAGGUCGAGCGGAUGAAGGGAGCUUGCUCCUGGAUUCAGCUGCGGACGGGUGGGUAAUGCCUAGGAAUCUGCCUGGUAGUUGGGGAUAACGUCCGGAAACGGGCGCUAAUACCGCAUACGUCCUGAGGGAGAAAGGGGGGGAUCUUCGGACCUCACGCUAUCAGAUGAGCCUAGGUCGGAUUAGCUAGUUGGUGGGGUAAAGGCCUACCAAGGCGACGAUCCGUAACUAGUCUGAGAGGAUGAUCAGUCACACUGGAACUGAGACACGGUCCAGACUCCUACGGGAGGCAGCAGUGGGGAAUAUUGGACAAUGGGCGAAAGCCUGAUCCAGCAAUGCCGCGUGUGUGAAGAAGGUCUUCGGAUUGUAAAGCACUUUAAGUUGGGAGGAAGGGCAGUAAGUUAAAACAUUGCUGUUUUGACGUUACCAAAAGAAUAAGCACCGGCUAACUUCGUG
rnacentral:rRNA from 1 species